rnacentral:rRNA from 1 species
AGACCCGAAACCCGGUGAUCUAGCCAUGGGCAGGUUGAAGGUUGGGUAACACUAACUGGAGGACCGAACCGACUAAUGUUGAAAAAUUAGCGGAUGACCUGUGGCUGGGGGUGAAAGGCCAAUCAAACCGGGAGAUAGCUGGUUCUCCCCGAAAGCUAUUUAGGUAGCGCCUCGUGAAUUCAUCUCCGGGGGUAGAGCACUGUUUCGGCUAGGGGGCCAUCCCGGCUUACCAACCCGAUGCAAACUGCGAAUACCGGAGAAUGUUAUCACGGGAGACACACGGCGGGUGCUAACGUCCGUCGUGAAGAGGGAAACAACCCAGACCGCCAGCUAAGGUCCCAAAGUCAUGGUUAAGUGGGAAACGAUGUGGGAAGGCCCAGACAGCCAGGAUGUUGGCUUAGAAGCAGCCAUCAUUUAAAGAAAGCGUAAUAGCUCACUGGUCGAGUCGGCCUGCGCGGAAGAUGUAACGGGGCUAAACCAUGCACCGAAGCUGCGGCAGCGACACUCAGGUGUUGUUGGGUAGGGGAGCGUUCUGUAAGCCUGUGAAGGUGGCCUGUGAGGGUUGCUGGAGGUAUCAGAAGUGCGAAUGCUGACAUAAGUAACGAUAAAGCGGGUGAAAAGCCCGCUCGCCGGAAGACCAAGGGUUCCUG